AUACAUGCAGUCGAACGGGAUAGAACUUAGCAAUAGGUUCUUGAGAGUGGCUCUUAGAUGCGUAACACGUAUGCAACCUACCUUUAACUCUGGGAUAGCCUCUCGAAAGAGAGAUUAAUACCCCAUAGUAUAACUGAAGAGCAUUUUUUGGUUAUUAAAGAUUUAUCGGUUAAAGAUGGGCAUGCGGCUGAUUAGGUAGUUGGUGAGGUAAUGGCUCACCAAGCCAACGAUCAGUAGGGGGUCUGAGAGGAUGUCCCCCCACACUGGUACUGAGACACGGACCAGACUCCUACGGGAGGCAGCAGUAGGGAAUAUUGGACAAUGGGGGCAACCCUGAUCCAGCCAUUCCGCGUGCAGGAAUAAGGCCCUAUGGGUCGUAAACUGCUUUUGUAUGGGAAAAAAUCAUCUUACGUGUAGGGUGUUGAUGGUACCAUGAGAAUAAGGAUCGGCUAACUUCGUGCCAGCAGCCGCGGUAAUACGAAGGAUCCAAGCGUUGUCCGGAUUUACUGGGUUUAAAGGGUGCGUAGGCGGGGAAUUAAGUCAGUGGUGAAAGCUGGUAGCUCAACUAUCAAAUUGCCAUUGAAACUGAUUCUCUCGAGUACGGUUGAGGUAGCUGGAAUGUAACAUGUAGCGGUGAAAUGCUUAGAUAUGUUACAGAACACCGAUUGCGAAGGCAGGCUACUAAACCGUAACUGACGCUGAGGCACGAAAGCGUGGGGAUCAAACAGGAUUAGAUACCCUGGUAGUCCACGCUGUAAACGUUGCAUACUCGGUCUUAGCGAUAUACAGUUAGGACCUAAGCGAAAGCAUUAAGUAUGCCACCUGGGGAGUACGGUCGCAAGAUUGAAACUCAAAGGAAUUGACGGGGGCCCGCACAAGCGGAGGAGCAUGUGGUUUAAUUCGAUGAUACGCGAGGAACCUUACCC
rnacentral:rRNA from 1 species